ensembl:lncRNA
AGUCUAUGUAUAUCUGUGGUCGGCACGUCUGGUAGCAUCUCUGGCUGCUGUUGACCUUGUUUUUGGAGUAAAACACGGUGGAAGCUGAAUUAGUGAGGAUGACUCCUGCUCCUGUCAUCUCUAAGCUCCUCACACAUCUUUACCUGCACAUGAGGAAAAUCACUCCUGUAGAAUGCAGUGGUUCAUCAGAACCUCUGGGGAUGUCCUGUGGAUUCUGUGGAUCCUGUGGGUUGCAGGGUGGGUCCUACCUAGACCAGGCUGAUCCUGGACCAUCCCACAGAUGCUCAAUCAGAUCUGGAUGUGGGGAGUGUGGAACCCAGAUGUUCAGAGGGAGAUGAUGCCACAUCUGGUCCAGCUGAUGGAAGGUCUUGAAGUUCUCUGACUGGCCUCGACUGAAGAUGGUCGUCUCACUGGAUUUAAGGUUCAGAUGCUCAGUAACAAACUCCACCAAUGUGCCAACAAGGAAGCUUUAGGUUUAUUAAAUGUUGCUAUGAAGGUUUCGCUGUUUUUCUUUGUGAAUGCAAUGUGCUCCAACUGAAACUUGAAUUAGAACUUAGAAAUAAAUCCUUCCAUCUGAAAGGAUUUAGUUGCAUUAAUAACCUCAUAACAUUCUAAUUUUUAUUCCAGUCUUGGUUGAAAAUAGAAUCUCUGUAUUGAUUCAGGUAAAAACUGAACUUCACAGUAUGUUGGAGCAAAACAACCAGAUGAAAACUGUGAUGGUGUUGGAUUGUCAGACCGUAAUGUUGCAGCUCAAAGCAGCUUUUCUAGCUCAGUUCAUUCUGACAUUCAGCUAUGAAUCAACACAGCAGAUGGUGAUCCAUGCUGUGGAAGUCUCACAUCUCCUGAUUUAAUGGAGCUGCUUUGCACUUUUUACACUGUUUAUUCACCAACACUUUAUUUAAUAAAAGUCCCAUCUAGUUUUUAUGAGGAAUGUGAUGUUUUAAUUUCUCUGUGAAUAACUGCAGUCUAAUGCAACAGCUGGAGUUGUAACAUCUGUCCUGAUAUUGAUCAUGAAGUAUUGAUCAGAAUACUUAUGGUUAGCAGUCAUUUUACAUUAAAAUCUUUACUUGUGUUGUGAACUUUGGUAAGAAGCAGAAACGUUAGCGUUGCCAUGGAUAUAAGAGUGUUAAAUUCUGUCCAUGUUUCCAUUUUGGGAAAUGCAGUCCAGUUCCAGAAUGUGGAGGAAUUUAGUCUCACAAUCACAGACAACAAAUAUUAUCUGAAAGUCGGGUUAUUGUUGUUUAUCAGCACAAUACAAAAAGGUUAAUGUUAGAAAUAUUCCAGUUAAGACUCUAGAAUAUCAUGAUUUAUGUAAAUUUACCUCAAUAAUAUGAAUGUUCAGGUUAAGAUUGUACAGUGAUAUUAUGUAAGUUUAGCUAAUUAAUGUUUAUAACUCUGCACUGAAAUAUUAUUUAAAUUGACAUCAUUAUUAUAAUAUUUAGGGUCAGACCCUACAGUAUUGAGAUUAAGAAAUCAAAUAUUCUAUAAAAUGUAAAUACACUGAACUCAUUUGGAUAUAUUUAAGUGAGACUACAAUAUUAUUUGACACAAAUCUAUCUAAAUCAAAAUUCUAAUAAUUUUCACGCCAAACAUUUACUGGACUGAUUUAAACAUUAAAAUCACUCCUUUCUAAUCCUCUGCUGUACGUUCAAACCUGAGGCCUUAAAUAGAAACACACAAGUAUCUGAUUGAAGGAACUUCUGCAGAGUCCUGGUUCCAGAACAUGAUGAUAGAAUUAUAGACAAACUUUAACAAAAGCUGCCUGAGAGUUUACAGGUUUUUAUGUUGGAUUUCUUCAGUAAUUUAAUGAGCGUUAUCAGCAAUAAUCAAGUGUUCAUUUGAUGAACUUCAUUCCCUAAAACAUACAGAAUUGGAGCUCAUAUCUUUGACAGCUGUAAAGUUUCUGCUCCUUCAAAGUUCACAACACAAUGAAUGAAUUCCUAAAACACUCUCAAUGCUGAAGCAGUGAUCAGUUUUUCUGUUUCUUCUCUGGAGAUGCACAAUGAGGGACGUCUGCAGAGACUGAGAAAGAGUCUCACCACAUCCUGACAUGAGAAAAAGACUUUAUUGAAGACUACAAUGAGAAAAACUGUCAGACAGCAGACGGCUGCAUUCAAGUCUGUAGCUGCUGAAUUCAUGGAUGAAUCAUCUGGCACUAGAGAAGAAGACCAUCAAACAUCCACGUCAGCUGAUGGAGGUCCAAGAGUCUCACCGAACAACCAACCUACAGAGUGAAGACCUCGAAUCUGAUUGGACGGCCUCCUAUUCAGCCACAUGUGUGAACAAAUGCCUCUAAGUUGAUUUGUUUUCUAAAAUAAAUCUAGUUUGAGU